UACGAAGGGUGCAAGCGUUAAUCGGAAUUACUGGGCGUAAAGCGUGCGUAGGCGGUUUGUUAAGUCUGCUGUGAAAUCCCCGGGCUCAACCUGGGAAUGGCAUUCAAAACUGCCAGGCUAGAGUAUGGUAGAGGAAAGCGGAAUUCCAGGUGUAGCGGUGAAAUGCGUAGAUAUCUGGAGGAACAUCAGUGGCGAAGGCGGCUUUCUGGACUAAUACUGACACUGAGGUGCGAAAGCGUGGGGAGCAAACAGG
rnacentral:rRNA from 1 species